rnacentral:rRNA from 1 species
UACGUAGGCAGCGAGCGUUGUUCGGAGUUACUGGGCGUAAAGGGUGCGUAGGCGGUUGUUUAAGUUUGGUGUGAAAUCUCCCGGCUCAACUGGGAGGGUGCGCCGAAUACUGAAUGACUAGAGUGCGGGAGAGGAGAGUGGAAUUCCUGGUGUAGCGGUGAAAUGCGUAGAGAUCCGGAAGAACACCGGUGGCGAAGGCGGCCCGCUGGGCUGUUGCUGACGCUGAGGCGCGACAGCGUGGGGAGCAAACAGG